UACGAAGGGGGCGAGCGUUGUUCGGAAUUACUGGGCGUAAAGGGCGCGCAGGCGGCUCUGAAAGUCAGAUGUGAAAGCCCCGGGCUUAACCUGGGAAUUGCAUUUGAUACUCUGGAGCUUGAGUACGGGAGAGGAGAGUGGAAUUCCCAGUGUAGAGGUGAAAUUCGUAGAUAUUGGGAAGAACACCGGUGGCGAAGGCGGCUCUCUGGACCGUAACUGACACUGAGGCGCGAAAGCGUGGGGAGCAAACAGG
rnacentral:rRNA from 1 species